CGGGGAGGCGGAGGGCAGAAACGGGGGCCUUUGGAGCCGGCCUGGGCCGGAGUGCAAACUCUGUCCCUCCGAGCUCGGGACUUGGCGCUUUUGGGUGCAAAGCGAGUGGCCCCCAGAAUUCCCGCUCUUGAGGAGGCCCGAGUCUGGGAGGGGAGAGAUUUGGAGAAACCGAAUCUCAGCUCUGUGAAGGCAGUGGGCUUUGUCCCCUUGCUGUAUUCCCAGUGCCUGAAAUGUGGCUGGCAGGAAACUUCCAUCUUGGCUACGUGUGUAUAUGUGUGCACACCGGCCUAAAUGUGCAUCUGUGAGCAUACAUGCACUGGAUCUUGAUGCACAGAUGGGGAGACUGAGGCUAGGGGAAGGUCAAGAGGAGCCGACUGUGGACACAACUUUUCUUGGGUCUCCCAAGGGCCUGCACCAGGGCUGAGCACAUCGUGCUGCUUAAGGAAUGCCAAUUGGUUGAGUUGGUCAGUACAGAUGAAUGGCUUACCCUUCCUUCCUCCACUGCCUCAGUGACCUUCCCCGGCUCAACCCCACAUCCCCUUAUGGCAGGAUUCUGGCGUUUGUCCUCUGUUCCUGCUCUGGCCUGGAGGGACCAGCCAGGACUUGCACUGUUGGCUUCAUCUCAGGCAGAUUCCUGACUGGCUCUUGUCGCCUUGGAUCCUGACCCCAGAAUGACUCCUAUGGACGUCUUCUCCUCCCUCAAC